AUCUACGGGCAUACCACCCUGAACGCGCCCGAUCUCAUCUGAUAUCAGAAGCUAAGCAGGGUUGGGCCUGGUUAGUACUUGGUUGGGAGACUGCCUGGGAAUACUGGGUGCUGUAGGCU
ensembl:rRNA 5S_rRNA 5S ribosomal RNA